UUCAGACCCACCUCGUCGUGUGUCCAGGCCCUGCUCCAGUCCAGGCUUUUAAGGACUGAGGCCCUGUUUAGGAGUAACUAUGGGUUGGUUCCUCAGGCCACAGACCCCUGCCAGCCUUGCUGUGUGUCUUAGAGCCUCUGCCAACAUCGCUUGUGUUUGUGAAACGUCGGAGCUCUCUGGCUGUGCGGGUGAUCUGUCACCUUCUACCAUAUGACACAAUGCUGCUGUGUAAUGAAGCCAAAGAGUCAUCUUAAGAUGAAGUCUGCAUUUAGUUCUACACAUGCAUGAGGAAGCAAUCUAUAAAUUCCUUGUCAGCAUUUCAACUUGAGUUGCUCACUGAGGACAAAACUGAGGUUUUGACAUUCAGAUAUUGAAGUUGAUGAGGCUUCAAGAUGCCAGUGGCCUUAACCUCAGAAUCACUACUUGUGAGAGAGCAGGAGAGCCACCCACCAAUAAGGAGCCCUGAAUAAACGCUUUGCAUAAGUGAGAAUUAAACAUC